rnacentral:lncRNA from 1 species
GGCCGCCGGGGCGGGAGUUGCUGCAAGGCGCUCCCCGGCUGGUCCCAGCGAGCGCGACGUCCCGGAGGCGGCUUCAGGCGUCUGCAUCGCCGCGUCCUAGCCCGCCGUCCCAGCCUUUCACGUCUGUUCUGACCUCGAGGCGAGGCCCACCAAGAAUCCCGUGGCCGUUUCCUAACCGAUGGGGUUAAGGGGAAAACGCGCCGGAAAAGGGCAGCCGGCCGUGUUCGCCAUUGUGUCGGUCGCAGCGACGUUCGGCGGUUUGUAAGCGUGGUCCGAGCUGUCGCCAGGAGCAGCGGACAAGCCGAGGGCCGCGCCCGCCGACUGACCCGCGCGAUCUCCUCCCGGAAGAGCCGACUCUAGCCGGUCGUCGUGAGACACUUUGGGGUUUUAAUGAGGAAUUUUGCCGAAGGAGACCAACGGGCUCGUGAGGGCGUCCGGCAGAUGACGGAGCUGAAGUUGUAUGGGAUUGGGGAAGACACUGGGAGGAGGUUUUCCCGGCAGAGGAAGCCGGCUCCUGUUACUCGGCAGCGUCUCCAGAAAAGGCCACUCAAAAUGAAACCCUGAGAAUCGAUUUUCUUGCUACUAGGCAAGGCGGUCCCCAGGCCAGUGUGCCACGGCCUUUCUGGGUGCUCGAGGGCACCGGACUCCCACCCAGCUGUCCCCAAGAAAAGCUCGGAAGACCCAGCGUGGGGGAAUGAAGAUUCCUUGUGUGAAUCCAGGUCGGCAGGGUCCCGGAUUAUAGUUCAGGCCUUGGCAGCAUCUUACUUCAUUCCCCGCGGGAUGCAGCCAGUACAGCUGCUCUGCCGGGGAUGGUUUUAACAGCGCUGCAUGAUCGGCCCCUUCCUGCCUGUCUGGAGUGUCCCUACCCUGAAUCCUGUGUUUCACACACUCAGGAUGCUUGCUAUUUCUAAUUCUGUGCCUCCCUGCCUUGGUCCUUAUUGUUCCUUCACCUCCACUUGGUCAGACCGGUUUUAUCACUCAGGACCCACUUCAUUUGCUGAAAAUCCCUCCCCUAAUUUCACAAGCAGGACAUCUUCCUAGUGUCUAAGGCACUUUCACUGGAGUUAUUUGUGUUCCAUGCCAACUGAAAACAGCCAGGAACAUGGCUGUCCAAGAAAAUAAUAAAAGGUUAGGUUUAUU